GUAAUUUUAGUAUAACGGUUAAUACGCUGACUUGUGGUGUCAGAAGAUUUAGGUUCGAAUCCUGAACAUUACC
rnacentral:tRNA from 2 species